rnacentral:rRNA from 1 species
GAGCGCUCGUAGCAAUACGAGAGCGGCAGACGGGAGAGUAACACGUGGGAACGUACCCUUCGGUUCGGAAUAACCCAGGGAAACUUGGACUAAUACCGGAUAAGCCCUUACGGGGAAAGAUUUAUCGCCGAAAGAUCGGCCCGCGUCUGAUUAGCUAGUUGGUGAGGUAAUGGCUCACCAAGGCGACGAUCAGUAGCUGGUCUGAGAGGAUGAUCAGCCACAUUGGGACUGAGACACGGCCCAAACUCCUACGGGAGGCAGCAGUGGGGAAUAUUGGACAAUGGGCGCAAGCCUGAUCCAGCCAUGCCGCGUGAGUGAUGAAGGCCCUAGGGUUGUAAAGCUCUUUUGUGCGGGAAGAUAAUGACGGUACCGCAAGAAUAAGCCCCGGCUAACUUCGUG